rnacentral:rRNA from 1 species
GAUGAACGCUGGCGGCGUGCCUAAUACAUGCAAGUCGAGCGAACAGACGAGGAGCUUGCUCUUCUGACGUUAGCGGCGGACGGGUGAGUAACACGUGGAUAACCUACCUAUAAGACUGGGAUAACUUCGGGAAACCGGAGCUAAUACCGGAUAAUAUAUUGAACCGCAUGGUUCAAUAGUGAAAGACGGUUUUGCUGUCACUUAUAGAUGGAUCCGCGCUGCAUUAGCUAGUUGGUAAGGUAACGGCUUACCAAGGCAACGAUGCGUAGCCGACCUGAGAGGGUGAUCGGCCACACUGGAACUGAGACACGGUCCAGACUCCUACGGGAGGCAGCAGUAGGGAAUCUUCCGCAAUGGGCGAAAGCCUGACGGAGCAACGCCGCGUGAGUGAUGAAGGUCUUCGGAUCGUAAAACUCUGUUAUUAGGGAAGAACAAAUGUGUAAGUAACUAUGCACGUCUUGACGGUACCUAAUCAGAAAGCCACGGCUAACUACGUG